GACGAACGCUGGCGGCGUGCCUAAUACAUGCAAGUUGAGCGCUGAAGGUUGGUACUUGUACCAACUGGAUGAGCAGCGAACGGGUGAGUAACGCGUGGGGAAUCUGCCUUUGAGCGGGGGACAACAUUUGGAAACGAAUGCUGAUACCGCAUAAAAACUUUAAACACAAGUUUUAAGUUUGAAAGAUGCAAUUGCAUCACUCAAAGAUGAUCCCGCGUUGUAUUAGCUAGUUGGUGAGGUAAAGGCUCACCAAGGCGAUGAUACAUAGCCGACCUGAGAGGGUGAUCGGCCACAUUGGGACUGAGACACGGCCCAAACUCCUACGGGAGGCAGCAGUAGGGAAUCUUCGGCAAUGGACGAAAGUCUGACCGAGCAACGCCGCGCGAGUGAAGAAGGGUUUCGGAUCGUAAAACUCUGUUGGUAGAGAAGAACGUUGGUGAGAGUGGAAAGCUCAUCAAGUGACGGUAACUACCCAGAAAGGGACGGCUAACUACGUG
rnacentral:rRNA from 1 species